rnacentral:rRNA from 1 species
CGGCCGUAACUAUAACGGUCCUAAGGUAGCGAAAUUCCUUGUCGGGUAAGUUCCGACCUGCACGAAUGGCGUAACGACUUCCGCGCUGUCUCGACCAGGGACUCAGCGAAAUUGACAUUGGGGUGAAGAUGCCCCAUACCCGCGGCAAGACGGAGAGACCCUGUGAACCUUUACUCUAACUUGGCAGUGGCAUUCGGUUCAGUUUGUGUAGGAUAGGUGGGAGGCUAUGAAGUUGGGGCGCCAGCCUUGAUGGAGCCAACGUUGAAAUACCACCCCUGGUUGUUCUGAAUGCCUAACCCGCGCGUCGGGGACACUGUCUGGUGGGGAGUUUGACUGGGGCGGUCGCCUCCCAAAACGUAACGGAGGCGCGCAAAGGUUCCCCUCAGCCUGAUUGGAAACCAGGCGCAGAGUGCAAUGAUACAAGGGAGCUUGACUGCGAGAUCGACA